rnacentral:rRNA from 1 species
ACGCUCGACACCUACGGAGGCAGCAGUAGGGAAUCUUCCACAAUGGACGCAAGUCUGAUGGAGCAACGCCGCGUGAGUGAAGAAGGUCUUCGGAUCGUAAAACUCUGUUGUUAGAGAAGAACACGAGUGAGAGUAACUGUUCAUUCGAUGACGGUAUCUAACCAGCAAGUCACGGCUAACUACGUGCCAGUAGCCGCGGUAAUCUGAGCGGGCUGGCAAGGC